rnacentral:rRNA from 1 species
GAUGAACGCUGGCGGCGUGCCUAAUACAUGCAAGUCGAGCGAACGGACGAGAAUCUUGCUUCUCUGAUGUUAGCGGCGGACGGGUGAGUAACACGUGGAUAACCUACCUAUAUUACUUGGAUAACUUCGUGAAACCGGAUCUAAUACCUGAUAAUAUUUUGAACCGCAUUGUUCAUUAGUGAAUUACGUUCUUGCUGUCACUUAUAGAUUGAUCCGCGCUUCAUUAGCUAGUUGGUAAGGUAACGGCUUACCAAGGCAACGAUGCAUAGCCGACCUGAGAGGGUGAUCGGCCACACUGGAACUGAGACACGGUCCAGACUCCUACGGGAGGCAGCAGUAGGGAAUCUUCCGCAAUGGGCGAAAGCCUGACGGAGCAACGCCGCGUGAGUGAUGAAGGUCUUCGGAUCGUAAAACUCUGUUAUUAGGGAAGAACAUAUGUGUAAGUAACUGUGCACAUCUUGACGGUACCUAAUCAGAAAGCCACGGCUAACUACGUG